rnacentral:ncRNA from 2 species
UUUAUUUCUCAGGGCAAGGUGAAAUUCCUUACUGGUGGUAACUAUACUUAAUAGAAGUCCACGAGCGCUUUAUUUUAUAAAGGUCAGCAGAUUUGGUGCAAAUCCAAAACCAACAGUUAAAGUCUGGAUGGAAGAGAAUAUAA